GCCACAUUGAUUACCGGGAGUAUGAGGGCCGCGGUCUCUCUCAUGAUCGAAGAAGUGGUCCGCCUCACAGAGAUGAGUCUGGCUACAGGUGGACAAGAGAUGAUCAUUCUGUAGGCCGACAGCCUGAAUACAGAAACAACAAAACUUUUUUAUAUCAGUGUGGACUCUUAUUUUAUUCAGCGUGUUCUGAACCGUUGCCAUCUUUCUUUUGAUGCCUGGUUUUGGCCAGUGAGACUCCCUGCAAGUCAGCUUCGGUGUUUUUUAACAAGUAUUUUGUUGUGAUGGAAUAUAUGUAACAUAAGGUAUGCCAUUCUAACUAUUUUUAAAUGCACAAUUCACUGGCACUAAUUAUAUUCAUAAUGUUGGGCAACCACCAGGUCUAAUUCCAUAUUUUUUCACCAUUCCACAUAGAAGCUAUGUACCUGGUAAGCAGUAACUGCCCAUCCCUUACCCCCAGCCCCUGGCAGCCACCCUUCUACUUCCUGUCUUUAUGGAUUUGCUUACUGUGGGCAUUUCCUGUAAGUGGAAUUGCACAGUGUUUGUCCUCUCGUGUCCGGCUUUCACUUAGCUAAGUGUCUUCAAGGUUCAUCCAUGUUACAGCCUGUCAGGGUUCUGUUCCCUGUUAUUGGUGAAUAACGUUCCGUUGUAUGUUUAGACCAUAUUCUGUUUAUGCAUCCUCUAGUGGUCAUUUGGGUUGUUUCUACCUUUGGCCAUUGUAAGUGAACAUAGCCGUGUAAACGUCUGUUUUGAGUCCCUGUUUUCCUUUUGGGUGCACACCUUGCAGUAGAAGUGCUGGGUCAUAGAGUCAUUCCAUGUUUAGCUUUUUGAGGAAUCGCACACUGUUUUCCAUAGUGGCUGCACCCACCGAUGUACAAACUGCACCAUUUUACAUUCCCACUGAUGUAUGAGGGUACCAGUUUUCCACAUCUUCACCAACACUUUUUAAUAUUUUAUUGUGUGUGUGUGUGCUCAUGCUGUUAUAUUCAUUAGUUCUUUUUUUAAAUUAAAACCUAGAUUCCAAUUAUUUGUGGUUCUAGUUAUUUUGUAAAUGUGAUGUAGCUAUAGCAAGGUAAGAUCUAACUUGUUCAUGGGCAAUAUCUAUGUAAUGAUUCAUUCAUUAAUUCAUGGUGUAUUUUUUAAACUACACGGUGUCGUGGGAAUGAAAACGAGAGCCUCUAGAGGAGGUCGGUAAGUGGGACUUGCAUCGGUGUUUCUCCCAAGCAUCCUGAUGAUCGUGAUUCAGAGGAUCUAGAGACCGAAGUUCGACUCCUCAGGUCUUAAUAAUGGACAGGCUCUAUGUGUAGCCUUGGCUUCUUUUCUGAGCUGUACAUUCUAUAUCCAGCUGCCUGUUAGGCACAUUUUCACUUGGGAAUCCCAGACUUUUCAUUGAAAUGAAGUAUAUCCUUGAAAACACUUGUACCUCUUUUCUACACAUCUUUGGCAUGAAGGUGGGCCAUGUUCUCCAGCUAGGUAUGGUCAUGUGACUGUCCCUCGUGUAACGUGACUAGGAGUUCUGUGUCUGUGUGCUCUUCCACACAUGUCACACAUGUUCAUCUUCUCCCAAGUUCCCAAGUUGCAGGGUGGGUCCUGGAGUGGAGUGACAGUGGACAUGUGACCUUGGAAGCCGCAUGUUGGAACAGAGCUGUGGUCAGCCUGGGUUCUUGGAUGAUUGCCCGGAGCAGUCUCUCUCACCCUGGAAGGCCUCCCCUAGACUCUUUGUGGUAGUUAGAGUAAAUUCUUUUGUAAUAACUCAACGUUACAUUUUUUGGUAUUUUUGUUACAGCAAUUUAGGCAUAUUUUGCCUCUGUUGAGAACAGGCACUAUUUCAGGUGUUAGAGAUCAGAUGGUGGCUAACAUAGAUAAGAUCUGCAGUUCUGUUCGGGACAUCUCUCAGUCUGUAUCUCAUGCCUAGAAUUCUUUUAGGUUUGCCCUGCUCGUUACCAAACUGCUUUUUCAAAAUGAUUCCAGAAAUCUUAAUUCUUUUUUUAAAGUUCCUGUUGACUAGAAAUUAAGUAGCCAAUAUUGUGUGUUGGUUGUGGGAAGAAAAGAAAAAUGAGGUCCUGAAUAAGAAGUGAAAUGCUUUCUCUCUCCUUCCGAUUCCCCCUCAUAACCUUAUCUCUUGCUUCAGUGAUGUUUACUCGUAGCAGGUAGACAUACAUCUGCUGAAACUGAGGGCAUGACUUGUCUGGCGGGACUGGUGUGGAGGCUGCGGGUCACCUUGGAAUGUAAGUGAGUGCUUGGGGUCAGGUGGGAGCAUAUUUGGGGAGAAUCCUGAGCUCCAUAAAUCAUAUUUUAAACCAGCAUCCAAAGUAACUGUAGUGCAGAUGGUCCCAGGACCCCAUUUUGAAAAACAAGGCCUUAUAGGGGGUAGUUCCUCCCAUCUCCCAUCCUCCAGGCAGCUGCCUCUGUGCGUGCCCAGCGUUAGGGCUGAGAUGGUGGUGGUACAGCAAGGACACUGUCCUGCCUCUCAAGUAAAAUACUUUUUCAUAAUAAAAAGCAUCAGUUGAGGUAAAUAUGUAUUUGUUGUUGUUUUGUUCUUUCCAGUCGUACUGUUAUUUAGAUUUUUUCAAAGCCUCUUUUGAUUUGAUCUAUAAUUCAUUUUUGAAUCCAUCAUAUCAUGUAUGUUGAUAUCCUCAUUUUCUACAUAGAUGGAAGCCCUGUAGUUUGAAGGCUUUUGAUAUAAAGUUUUCUUUGCAUGGUAAAUGGAACUUUGUCUCGUGCAAUGCAGAGUUUUACCCUGUGGUUCAUGGAAUGACAUUUAAAAUGUGCCUAAGUUUCCCUUAUCCUAUUGUGCUAUUCAGCAUGCUUUAGGGUCAUAGUUAAAACAAACAAAAACCAAAAUUCUUUCUUAGAACCAGGUGAUAGUUGCACUGAGAAAACUAUGGUAGUUGAUACUGAUUAAAUUUAAUAGCUACUCAUGAGUGUUGGGACUAAUACAUUUUAAAAUAAAAAUAGUAUGAAUAAAGCUGUGAUAUUUCUGUCAAUCAGAUUUUUUCCUUUUUAAUCUUUUUUAGAAAGCAGUAACAAUAUGGAGAUUUCAUAUUUUACAUUUCAAGUACUUAAUGACAGUUGCAUAUGUGGCUUUGUUUUUAAUUUGUACGACAGGACUGUAUUUCAGUAACAGUGCUGUCCUUCAGGCAGCAGUACUGUGUGCAAACAGAAUGUCACAGUCCUUAGCCGUCUAGGGCCACCCUAAGGAACUUGGGCCCGAUGAGUCCAGGCUCGUCCGUUUCUGGUUCACCCUGCUGUACUGUGUCGCCCUGUGGGGUCUCAGCCCUCUUUCCAUGGUAAGAUCUGGAUUCGGUUUUAUGUCCUGAUCCUAUGAAGCUGUCAGUCAUUUCUCAGCAUUCCGUCCUCUGAGCUGCGGCAUCUGCAGUGGGCAGACAGAGGGAGAAGCAGCUCAGGAAGACAAGGCCCAGCUCGCCGGGCUUCUGGCCGCUCGGGCGUAUGGGUUCUGCACCUACAGGCUGCGUUCUCAGCUCGCUCAUGACUCCGGCAGAGUGCUGAGACGAAAACACUCCAUCCAGUUUUUCUAGAUUUUCUUCAGUCAAGUUAGUUGGAGUUAUUUUUUGGAUGAAGAAGUAUUUGGAUGUAGCAGUGGUGUUUUGUUCAAGUUGCAAAAAUUGGAGUAAAUCCUUAAAUAAUUGUAUCUUUGGCUUGAACUCUAUGAAAUACAAAUAUUUUUUGAGUAAUAUGUCAAAUUUUAUGAGUAGAAAAUGUCUAUUAAAUAUAUAGUAUAGAUUUAAAACUGUAAAUGAAUGCACAGAAAUACAAGCUGUUAAACCAAGAACAAUGGAAGACUUUGAAAUUUUCAAUUAGUGAUUAUUUUCUGUUUAUUUGUUCAUUAGUCAUUUGAUAGCAUUUGGUUGCAUAAGAUAUACUAGCAGGCCUCAAAGAUUUAAGAAAAACUAUGGGGGGAAAUAUCUUUAAACUUAAUCUUUUAUUAUAAAGGAUUGUUUAAAAAAGUUUUAUUUAUAAGAUUGUCCCUGAAUCUCUUUACUGACGUUACCUGCAGAUUGGGUGCAGAGAAUCACAGUAUUUGGAAAUGAUGUCGAUGUUUAAGAAUUGCUGUGUUGAGGUAUAGGAUUUUUCUGAAUAAAGAAAAAAUAACAGCAACAUAAAGGUUGGAUGAUCUGCUCUCACGGUCAAGGCAUCUUGGAAGAUCUGCCUUUGUAGCCGGAACAUCCCGAGCAGCAGCAGCUCAGUCCUGCCGCGCGGCUUCCUUGGCGCUCGUCUGGGAAGACGGCCUGACGUGUUGGCAGCUGGUCGAUAAAGGGUGACUUCUCUCGGGUCUGGCAAGUAAUGCGAGACUAUUUGGGUGUUUGAAAGGAAUCAUUAAAAUGUAUUAAUGAUUUUCAGACAACAGUUGGUCUUACAAUUUGUUUUUCCUUAAAAUAAGUAUUAAAAAGAAAAAAAUCAGAGAUCAAAGUUCUAUUUACUUUCUUAAAAUACCUUUCAGAUCAUGUUAAAUGAUAAGGAGCUAUAUUUUUAAAUAUCACAUUUUUAGAGCAAAAUGGGCACUUGAAAAAAAUAAACACUUAAAGCACAUAGCAUACGUUAAGUAUGCAAAUCGAGCUGUACAGCCCAGUGGAUUACCGUAAGAUAACCGUAGUCCAGGCUAACAAGUAGAGUGAUUCCUGCAUCAGAAGCUUUCUCAUGCCCCUGGUCAGUUAGAUUGUUCAUCCUCCCCAAGGGUCAUCAUCACUUAGACUUAAAGCAGUCUGCAUAGUUAAUGGGAAAAAUUAUAAUUGUUGUGAGUUAAAAUUUAUUGUGAAAAUGUUAAAUUAACUUCUCUUGUCAUAAGUGUCUUAAGAAAAUGAAAAAAUGGUAAGACUAAUAUUUAGUACACUAUGAUUUAAAACAUUAGAAACGUUGAGAGUUAGAGUCUUAUUUCUUGGUAAGAAAUGAUAGUUUGAACAGUGCCUGCUCCCCUUUCGUCCUCUAACUUAAGAAAUGGAGCAAGCGUCUUCUUGAUGCCUUGGUGAAUUGUACUCCGUUCUAAGUCUGGGUCAGUUUCCAACAUUUUACCCUUUGCCUUUUCAUUGUGAAAUUUCUGAGAGCCUCUGCAGGGUGAAGUUCCUGCUGGCCCCUCCCUCCUGAGACAGUCACUCCCUCCCUCACGGUGGUGGGCUUGCCUGCACAAAGUUCUCUGGCUGCUCAGCUCAUCUGGUGUCUCUGGAAAGGCAGCACCGUCAGCUUUUCCUCGGUCAGCUGUUCCUCUGUUACUAUUUACAUUCAGUGUGAAUUAAACUUGUACCAUUAUCA